rnacentral:tRNA from 1 species
GGCUGUAGCUCAGUGGUAGAGUGCUUGCCUAGCACAAAUGAAACACUGGGUUCGAUCCUCAGAACCA